rnacentral:rRNA from 1 species
UGAGGGAAUAUUGGGUCAAUGGGCGAGAGCCUGAACCAGCCAAGUAGCGUGCAGGAUGACGGCCCUAUGGGUUGUAAACUGCUUUUAUAAGGGAAUAAAGUGGGUCACGUGUGACUUUUUGCAUGUACCUUAUGAAUAAGGACCGGCUAAUUCCGUGCCAGCAGCCGCGGUAAUGCGGAAGGUCCGGGCGUUAUCCGGAUUUAUUGGGUUUAAAGGGAGCGUAGGCCGGAGAUUAAGCGUGUUGUGAAAUGUAGUGGCUCAACCUCUGCACUGCAGCGCGAACUGGUCUUCUUGAGUGCGCGCAGCGCAGGCGGAACUCGUGGUGUAGCGGUGAAAUGCUUAGAUAUCACGAAGAACUCCGAUCGCGAAGGCAGCCUGCGGGAGCGCAACUGACGCUGAGGCUCGAAAGUGCGGGUAUCGAACAGGAUUAGAUACCCUGGGUAGU